AUUGAACGCUGGCGGCAGGCCUAACACAUGCAAGUCGAGCGAGCGGCGGACGGGUGAGUAAUGUAUGGGGAUCUGCCAGAUAGAGGGGGAUAACUACUGGAAACGGUGGCUAAUACCGCAUACUAUCGGAUGAACCCAUAUGGGAUUAGCUAGUAGGUGGGGUAAAGGCUCACCUAGGCGACGAUCUCUAGCUGGUCGGAGAGGAUGAACGGCCACACUGGAACUGAGACACGGCCCAGCCUCCGACGGGAGGCAGCAGUGGGGAAUAUUGCACAAUGGGCGCAAGCCUGAUGCAGCCAUGCCGCUUGUAUGAAGAAGGCCUUGGGGUUGUAACGUACUUUCAGCGGGGAGGCGUUACCCGCAGAAGAAGCACCGGCUAACUCCGUGCCAGCAGCCGCGGUAAUAC
rnacentral:rRNA from 1 species